rnacentral:rRNA from 1 species
GACGAACGCUGGCGGCGUGCUUAACACAUGCAAGUCGAACGAUGAAGCCCUUUCGGGGGUGGAUUAGUGGCGAACGGGUGAGUAACACGUGGGUAACCUGCCCUGUACCCUGGGAUAAGCCUUGGAAACGAGGUCUAAUACCGGAUAUGACCUGCUCUCGCAUGGGGGUGGGUGGAAAGUUUUGGCGGUGCAGGAUGGACCCGCGGCCUAUCAGCUUGUUGGUGGGGUGAUGGCCUACCAAGGCGACGACGGGUAGCCGGCCUGAGAGGGCGACCGGCCACACUGGGACUGAGACACGGCCCAGACUCCUACGGGAGGCAGCAGUGGGGAAUAUUGCACAAUGGGCGAAAGCCUGACUGCAGCGACGCCGCGUGAGGGAUGAC